rnacentral:rRNA from 1 species
GACGUAGGUGGCGAACGUUAUCCGGAAUUAUUGGGCGUAAAGGGUGCGUAGAUGGCUUGAUAAGUUAGCAGUGGGAAAUCGAGGCUCAACCUCGUGGAAGCUGGUAAUACUGUCAGGCUCGAGUGCAGGAGAGGUUAACGGAACUCCAUGUGGAGCGGUAAAAUGUGUAGAUAUAUGGAAGAACACCAAUAACGGCGAAGGCAGUUAACUAUUCUGUUACUGACAUUGAGGCACGAAAGCGUUGGGGAGCAAAACGGG